GGGACUUAUCAAGAAUAGUGACCUGGAAGAGAUUCAGAUAUACAGUUUCUUAGAAGAGAGAAUUCAAAGGUGAAAUCUUAAAUCCUAUUAAUGACAUUUCCAAUUUUGAUACACAGAACCCUCAGUCUGUCUAAAUAUAAAUAUUCCAAACACAGUUUGCCUAGUAGGACAAGAAAUUUUGACCUCUGAGGAACUGGUUAAUUUUUGGUUCUGUAUUCUUACUUUAAGACUUUUGAGAGCCAAUAAACUAUUCUAAGCAUCAUAUCUUUUUCACCCAUUAAAUAGG
rnacentral:lncRNA from 1 species